rnacentral:rRNA from 1 species
GACGAACGCUGGCGGCGUGCUUAACACAUGCAAGUCGAACGGAAAGGCCCUGCUUUUGUGGGGUGCUCGAGUGGCGAACGGGUGAGUAACACGUGAGUAACCUGCCCUUGACUUUGGGAUAACUUCAGGAAACUGGGGCUAAUACCGGAUAGGAGCUCCUGCUGCAUGGUGGGGGUUGGAAAGUUUCGGCGGUUGGGGAUGGACUCGCGGCUUAUCAGCUUGUUGGUGGGGUAGUGGCUUACCAAGGCUGUGACGGGUAGCCGGCCUGAGAGGGUGACCGGCCACACUGGGACUGAGAUACGGCCCAGACUCCUACGGGAGGCAGCAGUGGGGAAUAUUGCACAAUGGGCGGAAGCCUGAUGCAGCAACGCCGCGUGCGGGAUGACGGCCUUCGGGUUGUAAACCUCUUUCGCCUGUGACGAAGCGUGAGUGACGGUAAUGGGUAAAGAAGCACCGGCUAACUACGUG